AGUUCUAACCGAACUUAACUGGAAAGUUAGUCCGUAGAAGGUAAUAGACCUGUAGGUGAAAGAAUAAACCGUAAGAUCUGAUCCAGAGUACCACGAGACACGUGAAACCUUGUGGGAAGCAGGGAGGACCACCUCCCAAGGCUAAAUACUAACUGGUGACCGAUAGUGAAGCAGUACCGUGAGGGAAAGGUGAAAAGAACCCCGGGAGGGGAGUGAAAUAGAAUCUGAAACCGUGUGCCUACAAACAGUCGAAGCACAUUAAUGUGUAACGGCGUGCUUUUUGUAGAACGAGCCAGCGAGUUACGGUAUGUAGCAAGGUUAAGUACUUUAGGUACGGAGCCGAAGGGAAACCAAGUCUGAAUAGGGCGACUAGUUGCAUACUGUAGACCCGAAACCGGGUGACCUAUCCAUGGACAGAGUGAAGCGAAAGUAAAAUUUCGUGGAGGCUCGAACCACGUUGGUGUUGAAAAACCAUGGGAUGAGCUGUGGAUAGCGGAGAAAUUCCAAUCGAACUCGGAGAUAGCUGGUUCUCCUCGAAAUAGCUUUAGGGCUAGCGUCGAGUAAUUGAGUAAUGGAGGUAGAGCACUGAAUGGGCUAGGGGCUGACAACAGUUACCGAACCCUAUCAAACUCCGAAUGCCAUAUACUUUUAUCUCGGCAGUCAGACUGCGAAUGAUAAGAUCCGUAGUCAAAAGGGAAACAGCCCAGAUCAUCAGCUAAGGUCCCUAAGUGUAAGUUAAGUGGUAAAGGAUGUGGGAUUUCUAAGACAACUAGGAUGUUGGCUUAGAAGCAGCCACUCAUUUAAAGAGUGCGUAAUAGCUCACUAGUCAAGAGAUCCUGCGCCGAAGAUGUCCGGGGCUAAAACUUACCACCGAAGCUAUGGACUCGAAAGAGUGGUAGAGGAGCUUCCUGUAUAGGUUGAAGUCAUACUGUAAGGAAUGGUGGACUGUACAGGAGUGAGUAUGCUGGCAUAAGUAGCGAGAAAUAAGUGAGAAUCUUAUUGGUCGAAAACCUAAGGUUUCCUGAGGAAGGUUCGUCCACUCAGGGUUAGUCGGGACCUAAGCCGAGG
rnacentral:ncRNA from 1 species